AGGAGAAAGCGGAGCGGUUCUUGUGCAGCACGCUGGAAGCUGGAGGCUGGAGCGUGCAGCCUGCGGGAGCCGCGGCUCACUUCGCUAUGGGUUUGUGGCGGCGACUGUGGGUUUCUGGCGGCGACUGAGACUGCAUGGCAGCGAGAGUGGUAUAAAGGCCGCAAGGACCUGAAUGUGCACUCACCAGGCGGCUGCAGCAGUGGUGCUCCAUGCCUCCAAACAUGCCAUCCAGGAACAUGGAGUCCUGACCCAGACAGCACAGAGAGAAGUUGGCACCUUUUACACGGAUGUGGAGGUCUCCAGAUGGCGUCAGGAGAUGCUGCUCAAGUGGCCAGUGUUCCCGAAUCCAGCAAGCCCAGAAAGGCAUCGCACACCAUAGACACCCAGCAGUCCUUCAUCAGUACAGAAGCUGCUAAGGCCAUCAAGCCUGUUGGUCGGAAGUCAGUCCAUCAGAUUUGCUCUGGGCCAGUGGUACUGAGUCUAAGCACUGCGGUGAAGGAGUUAGUAGAAAACAGUCUGGAUGCUGGUGCCACUAAUAUUGAUCUAAAGCUUAAGGAUUAUGGAGUGGAUCUCAUUGAAGUUUCAGACAAUGGAUGUAGGGAAGAAGAAGAAAACUUCAAAGGCUUAACUCUGAAACAUCACACAUCUAAGAUUUAAGAGUUUGCCGACCUAACUCAGGUUGAAACUUUCGGCUUUCAGGCGGAAGCUGUGAGCUCACUUUGUGCACCGACCAAUGUCACCAUUUCUACCUGCCACGCAUUGGCAAAGGUUAGGAUUCGACUGGUGUUUGAUCACAAUGGGAAAAUCAUCCAGAAAACCCCCUACCCCCGCCCCAGAGGGACCACAGUCAGCGUGAAGCAGUUACUUUCUAUGCUACCUAUGCGCCAUAAGGAAUUUCAAAGGAAUGUUAAGAAGUGAGUGAGCGCUCAUGGGAUCUGGUUGUUUAAAAGCGUGCAGCACCUCUGGCUUCACUCUCUCUGUCUCUCCUGCUCCACCAUGGCCAGAUGUGCCUGCUUCCCCUUCACCUUCUGCCAUAAUUGUCAGUUUCCUGAGGCCUCCCCAGCCACGCUUCCUGUACACCCUGCAGAACUGUGAGUCAAUGAAACCUCUUUUCUU